rnacentral:misc_RNA from 1 species
AACACUGUUAACCUGCGGUACCUGCGGAGGGAUCAUUACAGAGUUGCAAAACUCCCUAAACCAUUGUGAACGUUACCUAAACCGUUGCUUCGGCGGGCGGCCCGGGUCCUUCCCGGCGCCCCACGGCCCUCGCGGGCGCCCGCCGGAGGUAAACCAAACUAUUGCAUUGUAUGGCCUCUCUGAGUCUUCUGUACUGAAUAAGUCAAAACUUUCAACAAUGGAUCUCAGAUCGGAAGAGCA